GCCAGACUCCUACGGGAGGCAGCAGUGAGGAAUAUUGGUCAAUGGCCGAGAGGCUGAACCAGCCAAGUCGCGUGAGGGAAGACGGCCCUACGGGUUGUAAACCUCUUUUGCCGGGGAGCAAAGCGAGUCACGUGUGACUCAUUGAGAGUACCCGAAGAAAAAGCAUCGGCUAACUCCGUGCCAGCAGCCGCGGUAAUACGGAGGAUGCGAGCGUUAUCCGGAUUUAUUGGGUUUAAAGGGUGCGCAGGCGGAGUUGCAAGUCAGCGGUAAAAUGCGGGGGCUCAACCUGCGUCCGCCGUUGAAACUGGCGUUCUUGAGUGGGCGAGAAGUACGCGGAAUGCGUGGUGUAGCGGUGAAAUGCAUAGAUAUCACGCAGAACCCCGAUUGCGAAGGCAGCGUACCGGCGCCCAACUGACGCUGAAGCACGAAAGCGUGGGUAUCGAACAGGAUUAGAUACCCUAGUA
rnacentral:rRNA from 1 species